rnacentral:rRNA from 1 species
AGAGUUUGAUCAUGGCUCAGAGUGAACGUUGGCGGCGUGCCUAACACAUGCAAGUCGAACGGACUCAAAGGGGUAACUCUUUGAGUUAGUGGCGAACGGGUGAGUAACACGUGGGUAAUCUCCCCUCGAGUGAGGAAUAAGCUCCCGAAAGGGAGUCUAAUACCGCAUAACGCCAUGGGGCAUAAGCGUCCAUGGUUAAAGCCGCAAGGCGCUUGAGGAUGAGCCCGCGUCCUAUUAGCUAGUUGGUAGGGUAACGGCCUACCAAGGCGAUGAUGGGUAGCCGGCCUGAGAGGGUGUCCGGCCACACUGGGACUGAGACACGGCCCAGACUCCUACGGGAGGCAGCAGUGAGGAAUUUUGCGCAAUGGGGGAAACCCUGACGCAGCGACGCCGCGUGGAGGAUGAAGGCCUUCGGGUCGUAAACUCCUGUCAGAGGUGAAGAAUGCCCGC